UACGGAGGGUGCAAGCGUUAUCCGGAUUCACUGGGUUUAAAGGGUGCGUAGGUGGGUUGGUAAGUCAGUGGUGAAAUCUCCAGGCUUAACUUAGAAACUGCCAUUGAUACUAUCAAUCUUGAAUACCGUGGAGGUCAGCGGAAUAUGUCAUGUAGCGGUGAAAUGCUUAGAUAUGACAUAGAACACCAAUUGCGAAGGCAGCUGGCUACACGAAUAUUGACACUGAUGCACGAAAGCGUGGGGAUCAAACAGG
rnacentral:rRNA from 1 species